GACGAACGCUGGCGGCGUGCUUAACACAUGCAAGUCGAGCGGUAAGGCCCUUUCGGGGGUACACGAGCGGCGAACGGGUGAGUAACACGUGGGUGACCUGCCCUCAGCUCAGGGAUAAGCCUGGGAAACCGGGUCUAAUACUGGAUAUGACUCCAUGACGCAUGUUGUGGGGUGGAAAGCCUUGUGCGGCUGAGGAUGGGCCCGCGGCCUAUCAGCUUGUUGGUGGGGUGANGGCCUACCAAGGCGACGACGGGUAGCCGGCCUGAGAGGGCGACCGGCCACACUGGGACUGAGACACGGCCCAGACUCCUACGGGAGGCAGCAGUGGGGAAUAUUGGACAAUGGGCGCAAGCCUGAUCCAGCCAUGCCGCGUGUGUG
rnacentral:rRNA from 1 species